rnacentral:rRNA from 1 species
AAUGGUUGACCUCGGAUCAGGUAGGACUACCCGCUGAACUUAAGCAUAU